UUUUAAAAUAUAAAUUAGCACCAAAAAUAAUUAAUUUUUUAAAAAAAUAUAGCGACUGUUUAUAGCGACAGUCAAACGAACAACACAGCGACAAUUAUUAGCGAUUGUCGCUGUAAUUGGUCGCUGAGUCAAGCGACAGACAAACGAACAAUGUAUGUUGUCGCUGGUUGCUGUCGCUGGUUGCUGUCGCUGGUCGCUGUCGCUGGAUCCAGCGACAGGGAAACGAACAGGGCCUAUAUAUUUCUUAUUUCUCGAUGAUUAGAUCUUUCUCCUUCCCACGAUGGAUCGAACGCCGAUGAGCUUGUCACUCUUCAGUCUUUUUCCUUCCCUCCAUCUUUAGUCAUCAUGUCCCCUUAGAGCAUCCACAUUAAUCAUUU
rnacentral:sRNA from 1 species